rnacentral:lncRNA from 1 species
AAUAUUUAACUCCGGUCCUGCUGAUCUCUGGAGGACAGGUACAGACAGCACUAGCUCAUGCACGAGUCAUUCAAGGGAGGUAGGCAUUUUCUCAAAGCAACUCCCUCUCCAGGCAUUUUAGGGAAGAACAUGUCUAUGGUGUUGAAGACCCAUUCUGUGAACUUCUUCAGCUUGUCCGAGGCGUUCUGGGACUCCUCCUGUAGCCUCAGGUUGUCCUCUCGCAGGUGCUGCACCUCCGCCUGAAGUGGAGUACCGAAAGAAGUGUGAGCUGGGGUACGGCAGGCCAGCCAGCGAGCUAGACA